GACGUAGGUGGCAAGCGUUGUCCGGAAUUAUUGGGCGUAAAGCGCGCGCAGGCGGUCCUUUAAGUCUGAUGUGAAAGCCCACGGCUCAACCGUGGAGGGUCAUUGGAAACUGGGGGACUUGAGUACAGAAGAGAAGAGUGGAAUUCCACGUGUAGCGGUGAAAUGCGUAGAGAUGUGGAGGAACACCAGUGGCGAAGGCGACUCUUUGGUCUGUAACUGACGCUGAGGCGCGAAAGCGUGGGGAGCAAACAG
rnacentral:rRNA from 1 species